UGUAAGUAUUAUUGGCAAUGUUAUAUUCGUUUAUAAUAAACAGUUCAUCUGUAUUAAUAGGUACUGCAUAUUUCUGUUUUCUCAUGUUUGUGUUCCUUGACUCCUGUCCUUGUGCAUCUUUGUCUCCUUUCUCUCCUUUGCCUUUCUCUCCUCUUCAUACACACAUAUGCAUAAUUAUAACUAACUUUUGCUUUCUCUCAUUCCUUUGCUAGGUCUCUCAUGUCUUCUCUCUUUCUUGUGUUAACACAGUUCUAGUAUCAUACAAUGGUAUAUCACAGACAUUGUCAUUUGCUAGCUGCAAUCAUGUGGGAACAGGAAUGCAAAUAAAUGCUAACAAAAUUGUAAUGUGCCUCAAUCCUGCUAUGUACCUCUAUCUUGCAAUGGACCAAGAUACUCCUGAUGUCAUCACAUAAUGAGUCUUACAUAAUUCAAGACAAUAGCAUCAAGACAACACUAAGACUAAAAACUGAUUAAAAUAAUUAUUUUUUUAUAAUCAUUAAUGUUUAAAUGUAAGAUUAGUUGACACUGUG